UGCUGCACUGUAAUAAGAAGAAACAGGGCAUUCAUCGUAUCCGUCUGGUGCCUGUGCAGAGUGACACCCAAAGCCCAAAGCCUCCAGACCCUCUGGGGCCCCAAGGAGAAGACGAUGAAGACCAAACAGGGCCUCCUCCAACUCAUUUUCUCUGUGAAUGCGGACUUCAGCGGGCUUUCGAGCGGAAAGAAAUCUGGAGAUGGGGAGGAAGUAACUGAGACACCCAGGAAGCCUCCUAGCCCUCAUCUUUUGAAACAUCACCACUGCUAGGAGCAGAGAAGUUUGUUUGGUGGCGGACAGUUGAGUGCGAAGAGAAAAAGUGCAGAACCUUCCGAAAUGAUUUCCAGUGUCUGUAACAGGCAAUUAUAUAAGCUGUUUGUCUUCUA